GCGGCCAUCGUUCAACGGCAGGACAUCGGGUUGUGGUCCCGAGAACGAGGGUUCGAUUCCCUCUGGUCGCCCCA
rnacentral:tRNA from 1 species